GCGGGCGUAGUUCAGUGGUAGAACGUCUGCUUGCCAUGCAGAAGGUCGUGGGUUCAAGUCCCAUCGCCCGCUCCA
rnacentral:tRNA from 9 species